UAACUUUGACAAAUAGGAGUUAUUGGGAUUAAAAUAUUAAAUAUAUUAGAUCAAGGUGCAGCUUAUGAAUAAGAAAGAAUGGGUUACAAUAAAAUUUAUUUAUUACGGAUUAAUUUUCGAAGGAAGGUUAUUAAAGGUGGAUUUAAUUGUAAUUGUUGUUUAAUAAGUUAUAAUGAUAUAAGAACUAAAUUAUGUACAUAUCGCCCGUCGCUAA
rnacentral:rRNA from 1 species